AAAUUAUUGUGUGCAGAAACACAAUAUAAUAAAAAGUAGAUUUAAAUGUUAAUUAAAAUGAGAAAUAGCGAAACUAAAAUAUCACAAAGUCAAAAUAUAUUACAAAUAUUCUAACAAGUUUAUAUAGAAAAACCUACACUAUACUAUCUAUGAACUAUAAGUCUCUAUUUAACGCGUUUUCUUAAAAGUAUAUCGUGCAAUUUUACCGUAAUACGUUUUUAAUUAAACGUCGAAUUAAUUAAAACAAUUUAAUUAAACGCAAGCCAUCAUCGUUCCACAGGGUUCUUUCAUCAAAAAUUCAUCAUGGUGAAUCUUCACGUGCAAAUAAAAUUUCUCGUUUUCAAUUUGUUUACUACAAGAUUUCCUACGUUAAUUAAAUAGAAAAUUGCGAAGAUUUAUAACCUAAUACGCUACAUUUUUUUUUAUACGUAUAUUUCUAACUAAUUCUUCAAUUUUUUUCUUUUCUUUCUUAUAUUUUUUAUUUUUCAUAGAUUUGCUUUCCUCAUAUUUUCUCAUUCUUAGAGUAUGUGUGAUAUUUAAGGCUUUAGAUUUUUGUUAGCUGUAAAUUCAUUGAGUAGUUUUGACUCGCAAUUUUUCAGGAAAUGUCGAAAGUAUAAUGGAAAUGGAUAGCUGUAUCGCAAAGACGCAUAGAAAGAAUGGGAUCGUAUUUUCAAGAAAACUCAGUUGCGAUCAAUUGUAAUCAACCGAAUAUACGAAUAUAUUACUUUUCUUAUAUUGAUAGACGAUAAAAAAUCCUUCUAUCGGAAAAUUUUUCUUAUAAUUCAUUCCACGUACAUUCAGCGAUAUGAUUCUCAUUUCACCAGAAGUCAAUUUAAACGAUUUUAUAUUACGAUUACUUUAUUUCUGUUUUUUUGUUAUUAUAACAAAUCUUUAAUACCAUCUUUCUAAAGUAAUCUUAUGUAUUUUUUAACAUGCACAAAAAAGUAAUAAACACAUAAUCUAUUGAUUCGAUAUUCUUACGCGUAUGAUUAUCUUUUUUCGUAUUAUUCAUUUUUAAUUGCUAUAUAUAUCUAACGAAAAUGCAUUUUUUAAAAUAUAAAAAUUCCCAUUCUCUUACUUCUAAUCAUUAAAAUAUAAUUUCAUUCAAAGUAUAACCUCAAAAAGUCAAUAAAUCAUACCUUAAAAACUUCAUUGCACCGUGAUUCAAUAAAAUCUGUAAAAUUCCAAAACUUCUUCGCAAAAACUUGAACCGGAAUCCAGUUUUUUUUCUUCGAUAUUUUCGAUUCGUCUUUUCACGAGGAUACACCAAGAUGUCGUAAUUGAUCGAAGAACGCAACGAUAUCGCGAAAGCCAGUCACGCAGCGGAAGUCGAUAAUGCAAACGAGAUCAAGUUCGGUCAGCGGUUCUUAUCGUUCCUAAUGAAGAAAAAUUGCCCCGUUCACGUGGAAGCACGCAACUAUACGGACAGUAAAUAAUCGUCAGAAUAUCCGAUCGUGUGGAACUCCGUUGGCAAGGGGAUGAAGCGUUUGCACGCGAAUUCGCAACAGAAUCAAGACGAAACAUAUCGCGUAAUUGAAGCGCAAAAGACUUCCGCUUUUGGAAUGGAGGCGCUUCGAUCGCGAAUCGAGCGCCACCAUUGAUCGUGGCUGUUAACGUCAGAAUCGGAAUAGUCAAACCUCGUGGGAUUGCCGUGAGUGGCUCUGUUUGUUAAAUGAUCGAUAAGACGAUAUUGUCUGUGUCUCUCGUUCGACGACGUUUGACCUCUUGAUCGAAAUAGACGUCCAUGGCCCGACUAGAUCGCUUGAUUACCGUUAUCCUUUGAUAGGUCGAUGAAGGUUCUUUCACUUUAUCCCGUUUGAUAGUGCCUCGCGACGCGUGAACACCGAUUUGUUAGGCUUUUGUGCGAGGUUACAUGAGAACACAUAACCUCGAUUUUGUGGAUGUGAUAGAAUUUGUGUAUAGAAUUACAGAUGCGUAUAAAACAUUUUUGAAAUGGAAGUAUUAUUGAGAAUUCAGUCAUUUUUCAAAAUAUUAUUUCGAAAAAUUAAAACUUUGAUGUUAUUUGAUUCGUGUUAUGAUUUCGUUUUAACCUUACAUUCAAAAUAUUUUUAAGUAGUAAUAUAAUGAUUAUGAGUAACACGAUACAAUUAUAUAUCGCGAACAAUUUAAUUAAUUUUUAUAAUUAAAUUUCGAAUGUUAUUAUUUCAUGAUUUCUCUUAAUCUAUAGGAUGGCUUCUUUAGGAAGACUUCGAUUUCAUUCGUACUGUAAUGCAACAAUCUUUCGUGUCAGCGUCUAUUCACAAGAAACAUUAAUAAAAAUAGAGAAGAAACGAAGGUACAUACACACGAGAGGGAAAAGCUCAUAUUUACCUCGAUUCCCUGUACGAUUCGUACUUUGUAACGAAACCAUAGGGGUUGCGAGUACAAAAGCUUCUUCCCUCCCCUAUUCACUCCGGGCUUUUUAUCGUUAAUAUUAGAGGGUCCUGCCUUUCGUCGUCACGUAAUGCAAUUGCAAAGAAAAGAAUUUGCUUGUGGCUUAUAACGUUGUUCUCCCCUUCCUGCACUUGACUGCCAAUGACGUUUCUAUCAUUUCUUACUUCUGUGAGUAAACCUCACAGCCAGCCUCGGCCAAUUCCCGCAUUCUUUCCAACCGAGUGAAGGAAGAAAAAAGAAACUCGCUCUGAACAAGAAUUCCUCGAAGCACUGGAUGCUCGCGAAAACGAAGCCGCUGCACAAUUCUUGGACCAAGGAAAACGAUAUUACGCGUUCGCACACGAACAACCGGCAGCAAAGGGCCUACCUAAUUUCAUUCAACGACGUUUGAUGUUUACUGUGCCCGGGAGACCGCAAACGAACUCGCCUCGUUUCCGCAUCCGCCCGAGUCGUUCGAACGAUAUCGUGACCCAUGGAAUUCGGCAGCCUUUCAUAACUCGUCCAACCUUACGAGUCACGGAUACUAUCCCGCGUUAUCAGGUUAAUUCGCGUGCCUGGAAACCCCCUCGAGACUCCCCUCGAGUGUAUCGUGGAACCACGUGGUUUUCAAGGGGGGAGGUAUAUAAUAGGUUGAAACACCGUGGCGGUUUAUCGGAGAAUUGGCGAACUUUGGGGAGAGAGAAACGUGGCUUUUGCUCGAUGAAUUUCUUAGAGUUGCGGCGGAUUGAUUGGCCGGUGCGCUGAUUGGGUUGCAAAGGGGAUUGGAUUGAUUACUUAGGUGGUUUUGGAAGGGGGGAGGGAGAGUUUGGAGACGGUUAAUUAUUCUUUGGACGGGGGUUUUAGAUUAGUUUUAGAUUGUUGGGAUAAUUGGUUUAUUAUUCUGUUUGUAACUGAAACUUUGUCAACAGUUGAAUUUUUUAUUUUUUUUAUUAUAUUAUUUAUCGUAACGAAAAAAUCUAUUUGAUUUUGUGAAGAUAUGCACAUAUAUUUCUGUCCAAUUUCCGGUCAAUUUUCUGCACCUUAUCUUUCUAUACGAUAUUUCACAUUUCACACAGGAUAAUUCAUAUCAAUCCAGCACAUAUAUUCGAUGUUGAAUAUGCGAUGAGUCUUCAUAGUUGCGAUAAGCCUCGUCCAAUGAAUAAUGCAUCUCUUGUGAACGUUUAAUUUUUACUAAAUCUCAUCUUGAAUCAUCGAAUCAAAAAUGUUUAACGAAUACGACUAUGAACAGUAUAACUCAUGUUUGCAUGUAAAUGUACAUUAUAUUCAUCAGAUUCUACAAUUAAUUGAAACGAUUAUCGGUCACUUUUCGUAUCUCAUUGAUUCGAACGAUUGUCACGAAGUCAUCCGCGUCUCCGAAAUAUGUCGCAAUUGUAAAUGCAUGCUAAUUGAUUAUGCGUCAUCAAUCUCUCGACCGGCCGUGAGAAUCAUAGAUCUAACGUAUGACAAUCUUGACUGUGAAUUUCUAACCAAAGAUCCUAUCGUCUUUCUCGAAGAUCGAAUCGUUACUAUACGCGUAUAAUUUGCACGUUUGUAUUAUAUUAGAGAUAUCAAGUAAUUUUAUUGUAUUAAAAUUAUGUAAAUAUUGUUUAGAAUUUUGAAAUUUUACUUCGAAUAAUGAAUUAGAUUAUAGAAUUCUAAUUAUUUUUAAAAAUUUAGAUAUUAGGAUAAUAUUGUUUGGUACAAUUUGAAAGAAUUUUAUGGAGCAUCUAUAGUAAAAAGUAAUUAAAACAUAAUUUAUUAUUAUUAUGCAGUAAUAAAAAAAUAGAUAAUAGUAAAAAGAUCCAAAGAUAGAAUCGUUAUAGAAUGUUGAAAUUGUACGUACCUUAAAGUUCUUCUAACGUAGUUUGUGUUAGGUAGUUAGGAUAGCAUUGUUGUAGCAUUGUAUUGGAGUAUUGUGGUUAGGGUAGUAUUGCCAUGAUAAGGUGAUAGUAACAGUAGUUAAAGUAGUUAGACCAGCAUUAGAAUAACACUGUUUCGUGAUGUUAUUUCGUGAUGAGUAUUAUUGAGAUAUUUGUAGAUAACCAAUAAUAUUCAAUCUAAAGAUCAAUUAAUAAUUAUUCAAUAAAUCUUUCUUAACUUUUGUUUUAAAAUUUUUAUCGAAAUUCUUUCGAAUGUAUUUCGAAUAAUAUACAACAAAUUAAUCACGGAGAUGAAAUCUGUAACAAAGAAUCAGCGAAUCGGAUAUCGCAAUGAUUUGUCGAAUUGAUUGUUCUUGCUCACCAUUUGAAUUAUUGCGCGCAUUAACUCGAAUUCGAAAUACGAGGAAAAAGUAAAACGAAAGAAGUCCGAUGGUUUCGAUGCGUGGAGUUCCAAACUAAAAUCCGAUUUGGAAACGAAAAGGGAAAAACAAUCAGAGAUUUUCUCAUUGUAUUAUUUUGAUUAAAGUUUGCAAUCGGAUAAAUAAGACACAUUCGUGAUCAGAGUUGACGUUUCAUAUUUAUUAUUCGAUUUAUUUUAAUACAUUUUUUUUUUGCGUGUAUUUUCCUGAAUUUUUUCAUGAUAUUUUUAUAUAUUGUUAGAGAAAACAAAAUAAAAAGCAUGCGUUU